CCUACGGGAGGCAGCAGUGAGGAAUAUUGGUCAAUGGACGAGAGUCUGAACCAGCCAAGUAGCGUGAAGGAUGACUGUCCUAUGGGUUGUAAACUUCUUUUAUAUGGAAAUAAAAUGUUCCCUGGGUGGGAUUUUGUCUGUACCAUAUUCAUAAGGAUUGGCUAACUCCGUGCCAGCAGCAGCGGUAGUACGGAGGAUCCGAGCGUUUUCCGGAUUUAUUGGGUUUAAGAGGAGCGUAGGUGGAUUUUUAAUUCAGUUGUGAAAGUUUGCGGCUCAACCGUAAAAUUGCAGUUGAAACUGGCAGUCUUGAGUACAGUAGAGGUGAGCGGAAUUCGUGGUGUAGCGGUGAAAUGCUUAGAUAUCACGAAGAACUCCGAUUGUGAAGGCAGCUCACUGGACUGCAACUGACACUGAGGCUCGAAAGUGUGGGUAUCAAACAGGAUUAGAUACCCCAGUAGUC
rnacentral:rRNA from 1 species